AUGAGGAAACUAUGGAUGGUUGAUAGGUAUUUUUGUGACAAUUCAAAGUAAUUGUUUUCAUGAUGAUAAUUUCACUCCUAAUAUAUUGGCCUUCUGAAUCAGUUAUUGGUUCUUGGGGACUUUCACCUAACAAAAAAAAAUGGAAAACAUUUAUCGACUGGUAUAUCUUUGGAGAUGCCCGAUCAACAAUGCCUUAUAUUCCUGGACACCUUGCAACAGUUUGGUUUAAAGGACUUAGUAAGAAAGGAAGAUCCAAUACGAUGUGGGAAAUUUGGCAUAUAUAUUAUGCUUCGAAGCAUAAGGAAUACACACUUUAUUGUAACUAUCCAAAUCACACAGGGUUAACAACUAAUUGGAUGGAAAAGGGCUUACAUUAUACCACAAGUUUAGGAGCUUCAAGCCCUCUACUGACAGUGUGGAAGAAAGAAUAUGAAAGCUUUCCAAAGAAACCAAUAUACGUAGAUAUUUCUGGAAAAGUAAUUGAGACUAGAAAAUCUUCUUGAUAAGCUUGAAAACGAUUCAACGUGUUGUGAUAGUGUAACUGGUUUGAAAAUCAUGACUAUGUCUUACAAACACAAAUCCGUCUUUUUGGUAAACAUUAAAACCACUUAUUAGUACAAUGUUGAGCUUGAUUUUCCGGCCAAAAUGUGGUGCAGACAAAUUUCACUUGGCAAUCAAACAAUACAGUUCUUCUCUAGUAUAUAAAGAAACAUCCAUUAACUAUAUUUAAUAAAACAAAAGUAGGUAAGUAAUUAAGCUAAUAAAACAAUACUGUAAGGAAAUUUCAUUUUCAUUUAUAUAUAGAUUAAGAUUGUUUACAGGUUUUACAGGUAAACGUUCGUGAUGUUUUUUACUUUAUCUGUUUCAGAGGCUUGACCCAAGUCAAAUAUGCGGAAUAUAUUCACUGCAAACUUUAGAUAAUAGUCCAAUGCUUCUAAUCCUCGUUGAAACUAUAGAAAAAAGAUUGAAUUAUUUAGUAGAUAUUACAUUCAAUGAACACUUUCAUGUAUUUGCAUUAUUUUGUACUUCUUUUAAAUGACAUAGGUAUUUUUAUAAAACCAUUAUCUUAAGUUUAUAGCAGAAAACAUAAUAUUUGUGAAGUUCAGAAAUGCAAAGGACAAAAAACAUGUGUGCCAAACUCGUUUUAAGACUCAGCAAGUACGACAGUUCAAAACAAGCUUUGUUCCGACUACAUUGGCUUCCUAUCAAAGCUAGAACUGAUUUUAAGAUUUUAACUGUCAUGUUGAAAUGUUCAGUCGGCUAAGCUUUAUCUUACUUGAUUGAAUUAUUAUCGGAACGAGCACAAAGACGUAGUUUAAGGUCUUCAGACUCUGUCACAGGUUGUUAAGAGGUACCAUUUAACAAACGUAAAACAUUUAGUGAUAGAAGUUUUCAAACUGUAGGGCCGAAACUAUAGAACAAACUACCAGCAGACGUGAGAAAUUCUGAUUCAGUUGACACGUUUAAGAAAAUGCUCGAAACACUUUUUAGAAGCUUUGAAGUAUGGUUUUGAUUUUUUCUCUGUUGAUGGACUGAAUAUGAUAGAAACGCUGAAUAUAAUCUACUAUGUGGUGUGAUCGACGUAUGUUUAAUACAAAAUGUUGUAAUUUGCACUGUAUAAUAAUUUUGUCAAAUAUGUCGUGUAUACCAUUCUAUAUAUAUUUUAUCAUUUUUCUUUUAAUUUAAUAUACAACGCCAGGGAAUAUACUAUGUGUAAAAUUAGGCGUUUAAUCAAAUAAUUUAGAAGCAGUUUCAUUUUUUUUUUUUUUUCAGUUUUUUUUUUGUAGAGUGUGUUCGCUGUAAUUUUGUUUGUUUAUUUCUUCAGCCAAUAAUGAUUGUGUAAGGAAUUAUGAACUUCUGCUUUUUAUAGUUAUUUUCUAACAAUUGAUCAGGAGCACGAUUAUGAAUUGUAAAAUGAGCUAUAAAAGAUAUAUAUAUGUAAAGAGUUUUCAUUUUUGC